CCCAGGGUCACAGUGUACUAAUGAUAGUGACAUGUUUAAUGGUCAGUCCCUCCCAGGGUCACAGUGUACUAAUGACAGUGACAUGUUUAAUGGUCAGUCCCUCCCAGGGUCACAGUGUACUAAUGACAGUGACAUGUUUAAUGGUCAGUCCCUCCCAGGGUCACAGUGUACUAAUGGCAGUGACAUGUUUAAUGGCCGGUCCCUCCCAGAGUCACAGUGUACUAAUGAC